CCGACACAGGUAGUCAAGAUGAGAAUUCUAAGGUGAGCGAGCGAACUCUCGUUAAGGAACUCGGCAAAAUGACCCCGUAACUUCGGGAGAAGGGGUGCUCUUUGAGGUUCACGCUUCGAAGAGCCGCAGUGAAUAGGCCCAAGCGACUGUUUAUCAAAAACACAGGUCUCUGCUAAACCGUAAGGUGACGUAUAGGGGCUGACGCCUGCCCGGUGCUGGAAGGUUAAGAGGAGUGGUUAGCGCAAGCGAAGCUACGAAUCGAAGCCCCAGUAAACGGCGGCCGUAACUAUAACGGUCCUAAGGUAGCGAAAUUCCUUGUCGGGUAAGUUCCGACCCGCACGAAAGGCGUAACGAUUUGGGCACUGUCUCAACGAGAGACUCGGUGAAAUCAUAGUACCGGUGAAGAUGCCGGUUACCCGCGACAGGACGGAAAGACCCCGUGGAGCUUUACUGUAGCCUGAUAUUGAAAUUCGGUACAGUUUGUACAGGAUAGGUAGGAGCCUUAGAAGCGUGAGCGCUAGCUUACGUGGAGGCAUUGGUGGGAUACUACCCUAAUUGUAUUGGAUUUCUAACCCGCAGCACUUAUCGUGCUGGGAGACAGUGUCAGGCGGGCAGUUUGACUGGGGCGGUCGCCUCCUAAAGAGUAACGGAGGCGCUCAAAGGUUCCCUCAGAAUGGUUGGAAAUCAUUCAUAGAGUGUAAAGGCAUAAGGGAGCUUGACUGCGAGACCUACAAGUCGAGCAGGGUCGAAAGACGGACUUAGUGAUCCGGUGGUUCCGCAUGGAAGGGCCAUCGCUCAACGGAUAAAAGCUACCCCGGGGAUAACAGGCUUAUCUCCCCCAAGAGUUCACAUCGACGGGGAGGUUUGGCACCUCGAUGUCGGCUCAUCGCAUCCUGGGGCUGUAGUCGGUCCCAAGGGUUGGGCUGUUCGCCCAUUAAAGCGGUACGCGAGCUGGGUUCAGAACGUCGUGAGACAGUUCGGUCCCUAUCCGUCGUGGGCGUAGGAAAUUUGAGAGGAGCUGUCCUUAGUACGAGAGGACCGGGAUGGACAUACCUCUGGUGUACCAGUUGUCGUGCCAACGGCAUAGCUGGGUAGCUAUGUAUGGACGGGAUAAGUGCUGAAAGCAUCUAAGCAUGAAGCCCCCCUCGAGAUGAGAUUUCCCAACUUCGGUUAUAAGAUCCCUCAAAGAUGAUGAGGUGAAUAGGUUCGAGGUGGAAGCGUAGCGAUACGUGGAGCUGACGAAUACUAAUCGAUCGAAGACUUAAUCAAUAU
rnacentral:rRNA from 1 species